rnacentral:rRNA from 1 species
GUGGGGAAUAUUGGACAAUGGGGGCAACCCUGAUCCAGCCAUGCCGCGUGUGUGAAGAAGGCCUUUUGGUUGUAAAGCACUUUAAGCGAGGAGGAGGCUUACCUGGUUAAUACCUGGGAUAAGUGGACGUUACUCGCAGAAUAAGCACCGGCUAACUCUGUGCCAGCAGCCGCGGUAAUACAGAGGGUGCAAGCGUUAAUCGGAUUUACUGGGCGUAAAGCGCGCGUAGGUGGCCAAUUAAGUCAAAUGUGAAAUCCCCGAGCUUAACUUGGGAAUUGCAUUCGAUACUGGUUGGCUAGAGUAUGGGAGAGGAUGGUAGAAUUCCAGGUGUAGCGGUGAAAUGCGUAGAGAUCUGGAGGAAUACCGAUGGCGAAGGCAGCCAUCUGGCCUAAUACUGACACUGAGGUGCGAAAGCAUGGGGAGCAAACAGGAUUAGAUACCCCGGUAGUCC